UUAUUGAUUUUCAAACUAAAUCGGCAUCGACGUUUGAAUGAACGGCACCUACCUCACCCAUCAUCAGUGUCGAGAGUUAGGUACAGGUUGAUCGGCUGUCAGUGCGACAUUGAUGCUGUGAGAUAGAUGACGCCACGCCACGGAGUGCAUCACACAAACGAGGGAGCUCUAUCGUCAGUCGUCGCAAGACGGGAACAUCUGUCGGCCUUGGGAUCAACAAAAAGUAGACCGCAAGUAAUUAGUGUUGUGGAUUCCUCCCGUUACGUUGGACCCCGGAUCAAUCGAUUUCCCCGUGUCCCUGAUUUUUUCCCCGGAAAAUGCAACCGAACGGACUCCAGUGUUUCGUCAUCGCCGCUGUCGUUGCUCUGUGUAAGGUAGCUUCGCCGAGCCCGACGAGGCUCUCGAUCCGCGGCCUCUUCGACUCCUUCCUGCCGACCCCGGCGACUAGCCCGCCGCCGGCGGCGGCGGCUCCAGUCGUGGCUGUGGUGGCCGCGGCCCCGGUCAACGCAUCCGCCUCCAUCUCGACAGGCUCGACAUCUACCUCGACGCCCUCGCUCUUCUCCUCCAUGUCCGGGUGGUUCGCGCCGGUGGUGGCAGCGGUGAGCCCGGAGGAGCUGGCGCGGCGCCGGGAGGAGGCGCUGCGGGCGCAGCGCGAGGAGGAGAAGCGGCGCAAGAUCGAGGAGAUCCGGCGCGUAGUCCUCAAGAUCCCGGGCGUGGAGCUCGCCGACCAGCUGACCCGCAAGACCGCCUCCGCCAUCGGACUCGGCCUCGGCUACAGCACCGCCCGCGCCCAGGCCCUCGUCAACGACUUCUACAACCGCCUCCGCGCCAAAGGCCAGCCCGCACCCGCCCCCUAGGACCCAGUCAUCGCCGCAUUCGAAACUCAACUUCCCGCCGGCCCAGCAGACUCAUUUGGACGUUUUUAUGCAAAAUGGACCGCGUUAAACAGAAAGGAACCAAGCCACAUCAGCUAUGGAGAUGUUGCAUGUGUGAGGGAUUUGCGAUUUGACCAUUGAUUCUUAGGUAAAAGUUCGCGAGAAACACGAUGGUGCCACUGGUUUUCUCUGAAAUCAACUCCCAAGCUCAAAAAAGCUCUCAAAGUGAGGCCAAAAUGGAGGGGAUAUCCCACCCUACCCUGAGAGUCCACCUUUACAUCAAGACAAACUCUCCAUGCAAAGAUAGGGAGCAAAUACAUUGGCAGGGUUGUCAUUUUAUUUGGGGACUCCAAAACUGAAAACACGGCAUCACUGCUAAUGUAUUUGCUCCCUAUCUUUGCAUGGAGAGUUUGUUUUGAUGUAGAGGUGGACUCUCAGGGUAGGGCGGGAUAUCCCCUCCAUUUUGGCGUCACUUUGAGAGCUUUUUUUGAGCUUCGGAGUUGAUUUCAGAGAAAACCAGUGGCACCAUCGUGUUUCUCGCGAACUUUUACAUAAGAAUCAAUGGUCAAAUCGCAAAUUCCUCACAUAUGCAACAUCUCCAUUGCCAAAUUUAAUCGGGCAAGUUAAUUUUUCACACGAAAACGGUUGUAGGGAUUUUCGUACAAAUUUCAGUGGAAAUUCUCCAUGGCACGAAGCAAAUUCCUUAAAAUUUUCAAAGAAAUCCGAACGAACGUUCUCUCGUAAAAAAAAUUAAUUGCCCAGUUAAACUUGGCAAUAGCUGAUGUGGCUUGGUUCCUUUCUGUUAAACUCGGUCCAAAUGGUAAUGAGUGCAAGUGGAAAGAUGGGGUGUGCUCGUUAGUGGUCGGGCCAUAAGAAUGAAUGGGAAAUGUACAGAGACAGUGACGAAACCGACGCACAGUGGAUCGAAUCAAUAAGGGGCGUCGCACAUGAAAUUUUUGACUAAAACUGCAAAUUUUGAUGUUGACUCCGUCACAUGAUAAAUUUUACGGGGUGCUGUUUGAAGAAAAUUCACUAGGUAUAACCAAAAGAACCACUCUUCAAACCUCACAGUUGUGUAUUAACUGAGUUAUAAGCGUUUAAAGUUUCCAAAUUUUGUCCGACCUCCCCUAUUGACUCGAUCCAGUGUGCGCCGCCGCACUUCUCCUGUGUGAGCCCGACUAACUCAUGAGCCCUGUCCACAAGGCUCUUUUCACAUGCCCACGGCUCACGAAUUACCGCUCAGUCCCUUUUGAUUUAAUGUCAAAUCCCGCUUUUCCAUUUCGCCAGAAGGAAUCAUGUCCACUUUUACAGUGUUUGUUAAGCAACUCGCCAUGAGCACACCCCAUCUCUCCCACACGUAUCUAGUUCUGUUAAGCGGGAAUACACCCAAUUUUCCCCCUCUUAAUCCUGAUUUUCAUUGAUUGUAACCACCCUGGUAGAAGUGAAUAGAUUAAAAUAAUGCAUCAAAAUUUGAUGGAGCUUACCUUAGUUGACGGCGUCGACAGAACGUGUGUGCGAUCCUCUUUCGCCGUGCUCGGGUGUAGGACUACACCUCCGUAACUAAGACAGAUGUUAAGGGAUUCAUUUAAAAGAUAAUUGAACGUCUAUCAAUCGUAGUCAUUGAAAAUGAUCGAAUCGAUUUCUGGUAAAGAGGCGUUUAAGUCGCCAAAAUCUUUUACAGGUGCUGCAAAAACUGAUUUUCUCGUCAAGCGAGAUGGUUAAAACUUUUUUAGUGUGAGAAUGGAUAAACAUUUGCUUGAAAGUUAGAAAACAUUUUUUUUGAUUCGAAAAGUUUUAGUACCCUUUUGGUACUUUGAAGGUAGUUUGAAAGUUUUACGAUUUACGCCCUUCUUCAUGGAAAUUCGGGAAACGGCGACAUUUUUAAGAGAAAAAAACUAUGUUUCAAUUAUUCUGGAAGAUCUAUCCCUCGUAUUUGUUAUUUUUAUAGAGCAUGGUGGAUGGUGGUAUGGCCUAAUGACAAAGACAAAAAUGCCCAGGCGUUGUUCUUUUUUCCAUAUUAAAUUGAAAUGUCCUCGACAAAUGGACGUGUUUCUAUCAAACGGAACUAUGUGCAUUGAAACAUGAGCCCUGAUACCCAUAAAAAUACACGCAUAACAGGGCUCACGUCAUAAUGCACAUAGGUCCGUUUGACAGAAAUACGUCCAAAUGAGUGGGAACCCGUCGUCAGAAGGACAAAACUACGGGGGAAAACUUAAAAAUUUUGGACUUACGCACUUCUACCAGAGAGCGAUCCAUUUGGCCGUCUAACUACCUAAUCAUUAAAAAAAUAAUUUACUUCUAAGACAGCAAAGAUUCGUGGACAUUUCCUAUGAUAAAGAUGAGAUGAAGAAAUAGUGAUAAAAAUAUAUUUUAGUUCAUGUCAAACGCCAAAAUAUUCAGUCCAGGUAAAAGAAGUUUCCCAUGUAGAAACUAGACCUUGCUUUAGGUAACUAAAAUUAUUGCCUACCAAGUGUUACAUAUAGCACAAUUACAUACAAAAUUAGUGAGAUUAAAGACUCGUAUUCUACCUAAUUCAGUUUUUCCGACCGGCAAUUUUGGUUACCUGGAAUGAAAACUAUGGUGUUACGAACCAAGGUUAGGUCCUGGGAGCAGAACUUUUUUUCCUCUGCGGAAAAUUAUAAACACACACACCCUUAUUACAUCGACGCGUCAUUUUAAAAGCCAGAAAACUAAGUAUUGCGGUGGGAUAUUUUUAUUUUUACUACAGAUUUUGCAAGCACGAUUUCUGAAAAGUCUAUAUAUGAAUUGUUUUGAAAAAACUAAAACCCCUCGGCUUUUUCUGAAUUUAACAGCAGAUAAAUUUCGCAACUUUAGCUUAAAACUCCUCAGCUUUGUAAUGAUGUUUGCACUGAUAGUCCAAUGUAAUACCAUACUACUCUCUAUUACAUUUUAAUAAAACCUUUUUCGCCUGUAAAUACGAAGGAAACGCUACAUUUCUACAUUACAUCUUUAUGAAACCGCCUUUAGCUCUUCAGGAGCCAAGACAUCCUCUAGAGACAGAGGGGCGUAUGAUGGUGAGCAAAGUCCAUUUAAAAAUGCUAAAGUAAAGUUUUUUGUUUCCGCACUUUGUGGAGAAAAUCAUUCAUUCAAAGAAAAUCUUCAAAAUGAAACCUUGCAAUUUUUUUUGAGUUUCCAAAAUAAUCGGUGGCGAGGAGACCUUGCUUCACGGACGAAAAAUCUCGGAUACAGGAAAUACGCCACAUUCUAACGUUGGCAUUUUGAAAAACUGGGAUGCAGUAAGUUCAUGGCAAUAUAGAAAGACGAACAUCAUUUGUGCUCUAUACAAAAAACACGAGCGAAAAAGUAUAGAAAAGGAUACGCAACGAAGUACCGAUACAAGGUUUCGUAAUCGGCAAUAUCUCUCUUCGGAAGUUCCAUUUUGACGCCCGCAAAAACAUCCACCAAGUACUGCAACAGAAUAGAAGUGCGAUUAGAAUAAUCAGUGAUAAGAAUAAAUUAAAACAAUAGACAUAACAUAUACCUGAGCGAGUAUUUUGUGAAAAACGCUUCGCCACGCAUGAAAUAAAAAUAAGCGGCAUUGACUCGAUGAGCUUCCCGUAAAAGAUUGCCUAAAAUCUAUAUUAGGAGAGUGUUGCUAGGUCUGCGACACGUUUUGAUUAGUUCAUCUGCCAAUUUCAGGCCUUUCCAUAAAUCUAAAGGAAUUUUACUUUAAAAAAAAAUAACCGUAAAUAAGAGAUGAAUAAUAGCACGAAGAAAGUGUAGUCUUUAGUAUUUCAGAAAUUUUAAAAAAUUAUCAUCACAUCUACAUCUUAGAUGUCAUUUUAGCUCCUCAAAUUGGAUUUUAGGUGAUCUGGGGAAGCAUAAAACUUGCAGAACGAUCAUAAAGCAACACAGAGAAGCACUGCAGCACAGAGAAUCAGGGAUUGAGGGGUCAUAAUUCUCCCUAAGCACAGGAGGCACCGUGCAUGAGCUAAACUGACAAGUUCUGUUGCAUGCAAGCGACAUUUACGUAAGAUCGCACGAAAAUUACAAUGGGCAUUUGAGUACAACAAAACAAGUCUGAGAUUCACUCUUUGACACGCAAUCCGUUUGGAUUGUAACACGUUGUUCACAAGUUCCACCUUGUAAAUAAUACAAUAAAAUACUAUCUGUUCUAUAUAAAAAAAAUAAAAAAAUAAAAUAAAAAAAAAAAAAAUACGUUGUUCAUAGUUUCCGCGGCCGCAGACAGUUUUUUUUUUUUUUAUUCUUCAUAGACCAGAAUCACCCUCAGAGAGACGCAAAAAAAAACCCAAAUGAACAAAAAAUAGUCUCGUGCGCAAACUGUUGCAAACUUUCCUUACACGUGUGAUACGUCCACUUGAAAGCUUUAGUUUUUGUGACACGAAGAA
rnacentral:lncRNA from 1 species